rnacentral:rRNA from 1 species
GACGAACGCUGGCGGCGUGCUUACCACAUGCAAGUCGAACGGAAAGGCCCUGCUUUUGUGGGGUGCUCGAGUGGCGAACGGGUGAGUAACACGUGAGUAACCUGCCCUUGACUUUGGGAUAACUUCAGGAAACUGGGGCUAAUACCGGAUAGGAGCUCCUGCUGCAUGGUGGGGGUUGGAAAGUUUCGGCGGUUGGGGAUGGACUCGCGGCUUAUCAGCUUGUUGGUGGGGUAGUGGCUUACCAAGGCUUUGACGGGUAGCCGGCCUGAGAGGGUGACCGGCCACAUUGGGACUGAGAUACGGCCCAGACUCCUACGGGAGGCAGCAGUGGGGAAUAUUGCACAAUGGGCGGAAGCCUGAUGCAGCAACGCCGCGUGCGGGAUGACGGCCUUCGGGUUGUAAACCGCUUUCGCCUGUGACGAAGCGUGAGUGACGGUAAUGGGUAAAGAAGCACCGGCUAACUACGUG